rnacentral:tRNA from 2 species
GAGAGAUGGCUGAGCUGGUCUAAGGCGCACGACUGGAAAUCGUGUAACGGCUAAUACCCGUUCAAGGGUUCGAAUCCCUUUCUCUCC